rnacentral:lncRNA from 1 species
GCCCGUUUCUAUGUCUUACUUUAGCCUUACCUUCGUUUUUGGGUGGUUGAAAUUUUUUCGCCCGUUUUUGUGCCUUACUAUAGCCUUACCUCCGUUUUUGGGUGUUUUAAAUUUUUGCCCGUUUUUAUGCCUUACUAUAGCCUUACCUCCGUUUUUGGGUGUCUGAAAAUUUUUUGCACGUUUUUAUGCCUUACUAUAGCCUUUCCUCCAUUUUUGGGUGUUAGUCACUUUUUGCCCGUUUUUAUGCCUUACUAUAGCCUUACCUCCAUUUUUGGGUGUUUGUCACUUUUUGCCCGUUUAUAUGCCUUACUAUAGCCUUACCUCCGUUUUUGGGUGUUAGCACUUUUUGCCCGUUUUUAUGCCUUACUAUAGCCUUACCUCCAAUUUUGGGUGUUUGAAAUUUUUUCACCCGUUUUUGUGUCUUACUCUAGCCUUUCCUCCAUUUUUGGGUGUUUGAAAAUUAUUUGCCCGUUUUUAUGCCUUACUAUAGCCUUACCUCCGAAUUUGGGUAAUUUUCACUUUUUGCCCAUUUUUAUGUCUUACUAUAGCCCUACCUCCGAUUUUGGGUGUUUGAAAUUUUUUCGCCCGUUUUUAUGUCUUACUAUGGCCUUACCUCUGUUUUUGGGUGUUUGUCACUUUUUGCCCAUUUUUAUGCCUUACUAUAGCCUUUCCUCCGUUUUUGGGUGUUAGCACUUUUUGCCCAUUUUUAUGCCUUACUAUAGCCUUACCUCCGUUUUUGGGUGUCUGAAAAUUUUUUGCACGUUUUUAUGCCUUACUAUAGCCUUACCUCCGUUUUUGGGUGUUUGAAAAAUUUAUUUAUUUUUUUUAAGGAUUUUUUUGGCUCUAGUGGCCUUUAUAUGACAGUUGCUUGACAGGAAGGGGGUUAGAGAGAGCAGGGAAUGACACGCAGGAAAGGGUCCCAGGCCGGGAAUCGAACCUGGACCCGCUGCAGGUGAGGAACUACAGCCUCCGUACAUGGGGCGGGCGCUCAACCCACUGAGCUACACACUGCCCCGUUUGAAAAAUUUUUGCCCGUUUUUAUGCCUUACUAUAGCCUUACCUCCGAAUUUGGGUAAUUGAGAUUUUUUCGCCCGUUUUUAUGCCUUACCUUCGAUUUUGGGUAUUUGUAAUUUUUUCACCCAUUUCUAUGUCUUACUUCCGUUUUUGGGUGUUUGAAAAAAUUUUUUUCCCUUUUUUAUGCCUUACUAUAGCCUUACCUCCGAUUUUGGGUAUUUGUAAUUUUUUCGCCCGUUUCUAUGUCUUACUUUAGCCUUAUCUCCGUUUUUGGGUGUUUGAAAAAUCUUUGCCCGUUUUU